GAUGAACGCUGGCGGCGUGCUUAACACAUGCAAGUCGAACGGAAAGGCCCAAGCUUGCUUGGGUACUCGAGUGGCGAACGGGUGAGUAACACGUGGGUGAUCUGCCCUGCACUUCGGGAUAAGCCUGGGAAACUGGGUCUAAUACCGGAUAGGACCACAUUUUGGAUGGUGUGGUGGAAAGUUUUUCGGUGUGGGAUGAGCUCGCGGCCUAUCAGCUUGUUGGUGGGGUAAUGGCCUACCAAGGCGUCGACGGGUAGCCGGCCUGAGAGGGUGUACGGCCACAUUGGGACUGAGAUACGGCCCAGACUCCUACGGGAGGCAGCAGUGGGGAAUAUUGCACAAUGGGCGCAAGCCUGAUGCAGCGACGCCGCGUGGGGGAUGACGGCCUUCGGGUUGUACUCCUUUCGCUAGGGACGAAGCGUUAUGUGACGGUACCUGGAGAAGAAGCACCGGCUAACUACGUG
rnacentral:rRNA from 1 species